CUUUUUUUUGUGAUAAUUAACCGAAUGCAGCAGCCGAUAUAGGAUACAUGUGGGUCAAUAAUUAACAACUGACUAAACCACAUUUUGUUACAAGUUAUGUGUGAUACCAAACUAGUAGCGAGCCAUAUGUAGCAGCUAGUCUAUGCUAGCUGAUAACGCCACUUGCCAAUAUUCCAGCAGCAGCAGCCCCCCCGGUUCACGUAGCCUGCAAAACACUCACCCAACACGGCAAACCAAGUGAGGAGCAACAGCGAGCCACGAGCCAUGGAUAGUUUCAUCAUUUCCGUCGUGUCACCGCAGACAGUACAACUGCACUGACUGUACUAGCUUUAGCGUUUGUGCCCCGGUGACGCAGAAAGCCUGUGGAGAUGAAGCGACAGACAGAUGGAUGGAGCUCGGCCGCGGCCGGCGCAGUGCUUAUCUUUGACAACACCCCAAGAGAUCCAUUGGUGUGAGGACAGCGUGGCCGAGUGUGGGCUGCCACUGCAGCUUCCUCCCACUGUGCUUCCCUAAGUAGAACAGCUUGAACACUUCCUGGAGUUUUACCAUCUCAAAAAGAAAACAAAACAGUACUUUAAAGGCAAGUGGACCUCCAUGGGCAAGUAUGAAGGCCAGUAACCCACGGUCAGGAUGUUGACUGUUAAUUCAAUGUUGCUUGGCUCACUCUGGUUUUGCAUGUACUGAGAGGAAAUACCACAAUUUAAGGCACACAAUUUGCAUGACCUUGUGCAUUUUCAUGUUACGUUUUCAAAGUGACAGUAUGUGGAAAGAGAAUGUAAAUACCUGUUUGAAUUGGAUCAUGAUGUCUUUGGAGAGUUCCAUGUCCUUAAACAUCCCUUCUAGCUUACUGGUAAAUGCUGCUCCACAUUCUGUAUGAAGGAAACAGCACAAACAUAACCAAAACGAAGCAUGGCCUGCCACGGGAGCUGCUAAGGCAGUUCUACACAGCGGUCAUCGAAUCAGUCGUGUGUUCUUCCAUCACAGUCUGGUUUGAUGCUGCUACAAAAAAGGACAAACUCCGACUGCAACGAACAAUCAAAACCGCUGAAAGGAUUGUUGGUACCCCCCUACCCACCCUUGAGGACUUGCACGCUGCCAGAACUAAGACAAGAGCGUGCAAAAUCCUCUCGGACCCUUCGCAUCCCGGUCACCAGCUCUUCCAGCUCCUUCCCUCAGAUUUCAUCUUCUACGUGUUGCAACGUGAAUGUAACCUGCCCAAGGCCUUCAGAAUCCCGAGUGCUGGCGUCAAACGCACACACCACUGAAAUGGUCUAACCCUGGGGUGUCAAACAGUCACGGGCCACAAUGUUGGUAAGGUUAUGACCAUGAAACCAUGUAAAUGUUUCAUCGCCUGAUCAUAAUUAUACACAACAAAAUGAUGGAUAACUAGUUUUCCAAUCAGAAGUCAAGGACAAUAGUUUGUUCAACAAUUGUUCAAGUUAUCAUAAAAAAGGGGUUUGAUAUCAAACAAAAAAGUGCUUGCAAUAUCUCAACAUUAUUUAUUACAUAUUAUGAUGUGGAAUUUUGGUACAGAUUUUAGCAAGAGUCAUGAAAAUUGACACAAAUGAUUUGCUUUUGCCGGCCACAAAAUUAUGUGGCGGGCCCGAUGUGGCCCCCGGGCUAUGAGUUUGACAUGCCUGCUAUUUGGUUUUAUACUCCAGGACGACCCUAGUAAGGAUAAAGCGGGAUAGAAAAUCGAUGGAUAGAUAUCCAUUUGAUACUCUCUUUAUCUGAGAGGAGUUCCUUGACGAUAAAUUUUUUUUGGGUUUUAACUAUUUGAUUUCACAUCUUAUCAAAUUAUUUAUUGGUGUCUUUUGUGUUAAUGUGGUUUACUUGUUCAACUCUGUCGUAUGACGUUAAUGAAAUCUCACCCCAUAAGAUUCUGAAAAGUAUUCCUGUAGACGUCUUUGCCUCAGAUCAAAUAAGAGGUCCGUCUGCGUUCUUUUCGUCGUUGUCAUUCGCCAGUCACUUUCAUUUUUUGCAGUCAGAUUUGCGCUGACACAAGUACGAGUUCUUCGGCAAUGCGUCUUCAUUCAAUCAACAACAAACAGGGCUUCCAAAAUUAGCAGUAACAGUUACUGGUCCUUAAAAUGGACGAGCAGAUGCAUAAGUAGCUAUGUAGCCUUUGAAAGUGGUACCUGACUGGCUGUCGUAUUCCCACCCACCCCAGCACUGAGUACUGUGUAGUUAAUACAAAUAAGAAGACGCUCCUCAUGGAAUUACGUGGUCAUGUUUGGCUGAUGCCUUUGUGCGGCCAAUGUCAUGCUGACUUCAAAUUGAUCCCGGGGCCCAGAAACUUGACGGCUGAUCUAAGCAAUCAGAUUUUAGAUUCACUACAGUGCACCUUCACACAGGCAGUCACGUUGGCAUUUUUCACAUCCUCUUGAUUGGUUCAGGUAAAUAGACCUUUAAUUGGUUGACCUGAGUAUGCGCAUGAGAUGGAUUUACUGCAGAGGACAACGUGGGACAUGAUUAAAAUAAUAUUUCCAGGUGCGCUUUUCAAAGAAGAAUUCUACUUUGUGAAGCUAGGUCAACCAAGAUAGUUACUGUCUGGCCUGUUUCAACCCAGAAAAGGUUUUUUGGGUACUUUCAGAGUAGCAUGUAUGAGCACGACAGCUUGCUUACACAGACAGGCAGGAGAAAAGAAUGGAGGUCUCUGCGUCUGUCAGCAUCUCCGGUGAGUAUGAUGUAUUUUAGUUAAAGUUGUUAUGUUUUUGUCAUGUUAUUAGAUCAAUAUUGAUUAUGAACAGAUAUAUUAUAGUGGAUACACUACAACCUCUAUAGAAGUUUGGAUUUGUUUGAAUUUGAUGUAUUGGAAGAUAAAGGUAACUGUGUUUCUUGCUUUAUAAUGGUAUUCAUGCUCAAAUAUGCAAAAUGCCCCUCUCUUGCCACACAUAGUACUAUAGCGUUUUUGUACAUUACUUUGGAAGGUGUUACUGUUAUUAAGAAGAGGCCCAGGUCCGAAACUCACCACCUGCCCCUGGGGUUUAACAUUAAAAUGAUAAGACAAGAACAUAUACUACACAUUUGGACAAAAAACGGCUUUUGUAAAUUUUUACAUAUUUUUUUACCAAGUCAAUCUCCAGACAUAAACGGUGUAAAGCAUGCAUUUUAACUGUUAAAGAGGAGACUGAAGGACGUAGGCCCCCAAAAUAAAAACUGAAAGCGGCUGCAGUGAACGUUGCAACGUGUCAAGUGGUAGAAAUCUUUGUUAAAUUUUCUGAAAAAACAUGGAAUGAGCACUUCUAACACCUCUUAAGUCUUAUAUAACAAAUAAAUUCCCCCCAAAAACCUAUUGAUUACUAAAGUAAAAGACCUAUAACCACACUACUCUUCUUACAAAUUAUGUUCUAUUUGCGCUAUUUAAGUAGAGUUUUUAGGGAAAGGGUCACAGUGUUUGAAACAUCUUGAUAAUGUUGAUGCAUCGACUUGGAGAAGGCCUAGGAAUUUCACCCCAUAACAGCUUAUUGGUGGAUAUUUUUAACUGAAACUUGUAAGUUACUCAGUUUUUGGACCAGAUUUCCUAUAAGCGAUAUUAUACCAAAAUGUUACCCAAAAAAGCAUUUUUUUCCAAACACAAAAAGCUCAAUUUCACUGAAACCCAUCAUCUGAUUUUCAAAAAAUUCAAAGCAGACUUAGCAUUUUGACACACUGUCAUUUCUAGAAAAUCUUGUCACGUUGCUAGUGAAAGCCUGGAAAAGGCUUGAUGUAGUUAUUGCAAGUGAAUUACGUCUUAUUUCCUUUAUUUUAAAUUUAUUUCAGUUCCUUUGCCUAUAAAUGUUGUUUUCCAUUACUAAUAAUGCUGUCUUCAAAAUGGUGUCUCCGAUCCAGAUUUAAAUACAUGGAAA